AGCGGUGGGUGGAGACUAGAGAAUGAGACGGCAACGGCACCAAGUCAGAUCAUCAGAUGUGAAGAUGUCCGGUGGCGUUGGAGUCCCUACACUUCUACAGUCUCCAUUGAGAAGGAAUGGGUUCAAAACGGGAGCGUUUUACAUAGAAACAUAGAAUGUGUCGGCAGAUAAGAACCAUUUGGCCCAUCUAGUCUGCCCAAUAUACUGAAUACUAUGACGGAUCUCAAUAGCGGAAUUGAAAACACUAACGUGAAAGUAGCCUAAGACUGUCUCUGACUUCACAGCUGUAGUUCUCUGGAAACGCCAGAUCCAUCCUCUUCUUGGUGAUGAGCAGCAUUUUGCUAAACAAGAAGAAAGCUCUUUCUUUCUUGACACGUUGAAGACGAAAUGUCCCUUCCAAGAUGAGCUCCCCGAACCCACUCAAG